UUUGGGAUCAUGCUAUCCCUU
rnacentral:miRNA from 2 species